rnacentral:rRNA from 1 species
UACGUAGGGGGCUAGCGUUGUCCGGAAUCAUUGGGCGUAAAGCGCGCGUAGGCGGCCCGGUAAGUCCGCUGUAAAAGUCCAAGGCUCAACCUUUGAAUGUCAGUGGAUACUGCCGGGCUAGAGUCCGGAAGAGGCGAGUGGAACUCCUGGUGUAGCGGUGGAAUGCGCAGAUAUCAGGAAGAACACCGACGGCGAAGGCAGCUCGCUGGGACGGUACUGACGCUGAGGCGCGAAAGCGUGGUGAGCGAACAGG